rnacentral:lncRNA from 1 species
AAUUAAAUUGCUGCCUCUGGGUCGCUUGCAAAUGGCUAUCGCUUAGAAAUUAAAGCAAGAUAGAAGGAAAGAAAGAAACUAAAGAAUGGGGUUUGUAUGUAAACUGGAAGAGUAAGAGUGCUUUGUAUUCUGGCGAGGCGACAAGGGUUUGUGUGUUAACUGGAAAGUAAAGGUGGUCACUUUAGCUUCCGGCGAGGCGGCGAGGGUUUUUUCUAUGUCUUUCACCUUUCUUCCAGAUAAAGAGUUUUUUUGCUUCUGUAGUUGAAGUUAUGGUCGGCUACAAUUUAUUGCAUAAACUUCAAUUAUAAAAAAUUAUUUUUUUUGUUUUUUCUUGUUUUUUAAUGAUUCUAUAUCUAAACUUUAACCUUCACCUCAAAUAUAAAUACACAAAAAGACUUUUUGGUAGUGAGUUUGAAUUGUGUUUGUCAAAAUUUUGAAAUUUUUUUUUUUUGUUAAAAUUAAGUUUGGUUUGUAUUUUUUUAAUCGUUUUAAUGUGUUAAUAUUAAAAAUGAUUUUUAAAAAAUAAAAAAAAUCAUUGACAUGUAUUUCGAUACGAAAAACUAUUUAAAAAGUAACCGUUACCGCACUACCAAACAAACUCAAAAUAGUUUAAGGACGGUGGUGGCUUCUUCAAUGCCUUUCACCACACACCAAAAGGAGAGAAAGAAACUGUCGAUAUUCGUUCGAGUUCGAACGAUUUCGCACGGAGAAUAUUUAGCGACUUAUAAGAAAAUGUGUUUUGAUUUUCUAAUUUUUCCAAGCAAAAUACUUUUUUUAAUAUUGAACAUAUCGAUAUCUUUAAUUACAGUCAGUCCAUACAAAAACUUGAGUUUAAUUAAAUUAUAUACUUUAUUACAGAUAAGGUGUCUUGAUUCGAACCCUUUUGCGAUGCCGAAAACAAUUAAAAAUAAAUUAAAAUAAAAAAAUGUAUUAAGAAAAUCCCGAACCCCUAUGCAAAUAUAAAAAAGCUUCGUAAUUAUUUUAAAAUAUGAAAAAAAAAUAUUUUUUAAAAAUUAUAUUUAAGAUUAACAUAUUAAAGAUUUAAAAUAAAAAAAAUAUUAAUUUUGAAUAAAAAAAAUUAUUUUUUAAAAAAAUAUAAGUGGUUGAGAUUUCCAAACGCUCUUGCAAGUUGUGCAGUCCACUGCGGCUUCAUGGAGUUCAAAUUGAUUUGUAAUAUGAACAUAGGGUAGGUGGCUACUUUUGGAUGGAAUUUUUAACUUUUAAUUAAUUAUUCCGUCCUUUAGUCUAGAGAUAGAAUCAUUUCACUUUCGAAAACAAAUCGUAUGCACAAAGAAAUAAAUAAUUUCAACAGGCAAGGUGUGAAAAACGUGGGACCAGACGAAGCUGGACCCUCCCUGUCUUUUCUUCUAAUAAAAGGAACCUUCAUAUUCUGAAGUGGAGCAAACCUAAUUCUUUAAAAUAAAAUAUACUUUUUUUCUUUUAAGUUAUAUUUUUAUUAAUCGAUUGUUAAUAAGAUUUGUCACCCGGUUCAUCUUAUAUAAGAUAAGAUAUAUUAUUAAUUAAUUAUUAAUUUAAAUUAUAUUUUUAUGUGUUAGUUUUUUUAAAAGUUCAAGGCAAAUAUUUUUUACAAGAAAAUCAUUUUUUUUACAAGAAAAUCAUUUAUAGUAUUGUAUUUUUUAAAAAAAUAACACUUGAAUUAUCUCUUUAGACUGUGUGUGUGAGAGAGAGAGACUUGGUUCAAAAUUAGAUUACAGGUGGGAUAGGUCAACUUGCAAAUCAAUUUAUUAACCUGAAUUCAUGAGUUUUUUUUUAAUUUUUAUUUAAAAUAGAGUUGUUUUAGACAAUUUUUUUGAAUAAAAUAAUAUUUUAUAGAUAAAAAUUAAAUAAAAAGAAAUUGAUAGAAUCUCACCUAGAUUUUGAUGCAUUCACCUGUACCGCUAGUAGGUUGGCCACCCAAGCUCAAUAUUGCAGCCAAGGUCUUAGAAAUUGAACCCCACACUCAGUCUGCAGCUCCAACUCCAGGAGGAAUUUGGUCGAUCUUACUGCAGAUAUGUUCUUCUCCCAACCAAGACUAUGUCUCUAUAUAGGAUCACAGUCCUCUGUAAACUAAUAAAUAAAAGAACCUGACUCACCUACGACUCGCCAAACGACUCGCCUUUCGCAUUGAUCAUAUCAUAUUUCCUAAUACUGCGCGCUAUUGAUAUUUCCCCGGCCCCUCGUUUCCCUUUUUGUUGAUCUGAUCAUGAUUAAGUUCUGUUGGAUUUAGCUAUAUAUAUAUAUAACACAAGACUUGUGCAUUCAACUGACUGAUUAUGCCAAUAUAUAUAAUAUGGAGCAAUAUCUAGCUAGAGAUUAUGAUUAAUGUAGAAAUUAUAAGCACACCUUGCCUCUACCGCAUACAGUUCAUUGCAGGUGUGCCAAAAUAUGCAGAUUUUAUUGCAGUACGUACUGCUAGCUGGCUACGAUAUAUAAGAGAUAUAAUAUAUGUUCCAUACCUGAAUUAUCCGAGCCAGCUAGCCAAAAGCUCUCCAGAAAGAAGAUACGAAAAGUGCUCCAAGAUCUGGAAUCCCCACUUGUUUUUCCGCAGCCAAAGUGGCCAAACCAUGAGAAGAUCCUUGUUCAUUCGUUGAAUACUCCUGUAUAUGCCAUGGAACACGAAAAAAUGAAUAGGGAAGAUUCGUUAGGUUACUGAUAAUGCAUCGUUCAAUUAGCGAUAUCCCAUACCUCCAUGGAAACUGCAAAAUGAUCGGUGUUUGAAGGUCGAAGAGUGCUCACAAUCAGGCACUGAUGAAUUGCCUCAUCCAACCCAGGACUCCAUUGCAUUGAAGUACUAGCUGCUAAAAAAUAAGCAUAAAGUGAAGAUGCAUGAAAGCUAGGAUUCCCAACAUGCUGCACCAUGGGAUUUCAUGUAUUUUAUAUUUGUUUUUAUUGCAGUUUAUCGAGUAUAAAACUAGUAGAAUUAACUGAAUAUUGCCUUGUAAAUAAAUUGAAAUCAAGCACAUAAAAUUGGCGCCGGUCCUAACCAGUUCCUCCCUUCAAUAUCGCUAAUCGUGCUUGUGCUGGUUAAGAUCCUCACUGUUAAUUUAAGAACUGAUUUCUAGCUAGCUAAACGUGAUUGUGCUGUCCUAGUUACAAACAGUAAAUUACCUCCAUGAUUUCCUCAGCUUAUUCGGAAUAUUGCAGCAGCCAUCAGUACAUCCAGUUAAGUACUCCUCAGGUGACAAAGUGCGGCAACAAAUGGUACAAAUCCGUCGGCUACCAUAAAAAACUAUCCUGUUCUGGCAACAUAGGGGUGGAAAAACUCCAUUCAUUUUCUCAUGUAUAUCCCAUAUCUCACAAUUUCAUGUCUUUUCCCAUUCAUCAUAGUUUAGUUCCCCUCAAAAACAAUUUGCUGCCAACGUACGGUAAGCCCUUACACUAGCUUGCUAUUCUUACCCAAAAGCUUGCAGAUUUGGAUUGCAUCAAAUUUUGCUUUUCUAGGACAUGAUGUACAAACACUGACAGGCAAUCAUAUUCCGAUAAUGCCCUAGAUGGUGGUGUGAAAAGCCACCCAUGUUCGAUGGGACCAGUAGCGGAGCCAGGAUUUUUUAAAUGAGGGGACAAACUAUUAACAAAUAUUUGAUAUUAUAUAUCAUAUAUAAAAAUUAAUUUGAAAUAUAUGUACCAACUCAAGUCAAGCAAAAUUAAUUUAAGAAUACUUUUAAAAUAAAAAAACUUAUAUUAUAAUUGUUUUCUUUGAGAUUUUAUAUUUUAAAACUGCUUCAUAAUGAUUUUAUUUUUAAUCUGAUUAAAAAUAUAUUUCUUAAUAUAUACAACAAAUUUUCAUUUAUCUAUUUCUAAAUCUUCUAAGGACUAGGAAAGUUCUUGGCAACAAUUCUAUACUGACAUAUGGUACAUAAAAAUCUAAAAUCAUAGCUUAAAAAGAUUGUCACAAAUUAAUGUUGUUUUUGAUGACUUGUUGUUUUGUACAAGUGGAUUAAACAUAAAUAUUAAAUAUUUUUUUUAAUUUAUUUAUUAUGUCCCUAAUUUUUUUUAGUUGUCCUGCACUUCAUUUUUAAUUAUUAGUAAAUUCAUUAUCAUCAUUUUUCAUAUGAAAUUCAUAACAAAAUACCUAUCAAUUCAUCAAAACUCAUUUCAAUUCAUAUCCAUUAGCAUAUAAUAUUACCUAUACACAUAUUAAUUCAACAAACCCAUAAAUUAUUAUAAACCCUAACAUUUUCAAUAACUAAUUUUUAGAGAUGUAGACCUAGUAGAAUUUUUGUCCCAAAAUCCUCUAUUAAAAACGGAAAAGAGAAGGAAUUUCCUUCCUGAAUCUGAUUUUGAAAGGUGGGGGCUGGGGAGGGGGGGGGGCAAUUGCCCCCUCUUGCCCCUACGUGGCUUCGCCACUGGAUGGGACGCCAUCGUUUCUUGUUGUGAUAACUAUCUUAACUCCACGGGCGGCUGAAAGGGGUCUUCUCUUGGCAUCAAUUGAAGCAAAUUAAGAUCAUCGCUCAGCUUACAAGUUUCCAAAGGAAUUGCCUGCAGAAGAAUUGUUGUUGUUAACAAAACAUCAAGAACGAAAACUCAUAGCCUUAAUUCAAAAGACUUCGACACUAUAUCAACAUGAGGCAAAAUCUGAGCUGCGGUGAUUUUUCCUACUUGUAGCAAUCACAGAAACCCCAUCAUCGUUGAUGCCUCACAAUUCAGUAGUGCAAUCCAAGAAUCGCUUUUUUUGUGCUUUUAUCUACCAUAAAUGCACAUCAGCCAAACAAAUCGUGGGUUUCCUUGUUGGUGGGAAAUAUAAGAGAGAAAUAUUAGAGAAAAAGAGAAGAUGUAUUUAAAGAGUUUCUAGUUAUUUAUAAAUCUCUUGUUAUUGAAAUAAAACAGUGUGUUUUAUCUUGAGUGUUUCAAAACUCAUGAGUUUGUCUCCUCAUCUCUUUCUCGCAUCUCGUGAUCCUGUACUAAUUCCCUGAUCUUUCUUGGUAUCAACAACAAGGGAUCAAUUUUCUUACCUUACUUGUAGUGCCGGCAGCUUCACAGGUCAUGUUUUGAUUAGAUGAUGAAGCCUUACAUCGUGAAUUGCCCCUCCUAUGCAUCUUUGGUUUUCGUCUUGAUCAAGCAGUCAGAGGCAACCUAGGUGAACCUGGUAAGAUGUCAAGAUCAAUGAAUGAAGGGUACUGAAACGAGGGAGUAUCUUGCUUGUUGAAAACAAUGAUAAUUAAUAUAUAUGUAUUCAAAUAUGGUGUGCUGAUAUGAAAGAACAAACGCGUACGCAGAGGCCAGGUCUCACAAUGACAAUUUUCGAAGAAAGUGAGACAAAGAGAGAGUCUUAAAAGUCUUCUAUGAACAAUGAUAUUGCGUGGUAGGCCUCGUUAGGGACCCUUAAUUAAAUUGUUUGGAUGUUUCCUUAGUGGUUAGUAUAAACUGACCAAAUAGAUCGAUCAAGCUUAGUUAUUUGUUUCACUGCAACUAUUCUGCUUUGACUUGUCAGCAUGCGGAAACUUCCAUGCAUGGAGGUAAGAAACUUCAAUCAGUGAGCUGGCCAGCACAAUAUGUAUCAUCGUUGAGAGCUUGCGGGAUGCGGUUCAAUUGAUUUCUUCAUUUUCGCCAGAUCGCGUCUUGCUUCCAGACUCGGCCGAGUCUGAUUGGUUGAGGUUGAAUUUGCCUUUUAAUUAGUUGAAAAGCAUUCUGUUGAGAUUUUAAUAUUUCUCCCAUUGAAUAGCUUGAGAUUCCUUAACAGUCAAGCUACUAUACGCAAUGCUCAUAUUAAUCCGAUAUCUAUCCCAGCCAAUCUUUCUGUAUCAAUUCUUCCUUCAUUUAUUUAUUAUUCGAGAGGUUAAUGACCAGGUUCUUUCAAAAACCAUAACCAUGGGGUUUCGAUAUAUAUAUACAUUAUAUCAAUUAUAUAUUUUCAUUAAAACUAAUGAUUGUGAGGUCAAAGAUAUAGUUUCAAUAAUUAGCAGUCUUUUGUUAAAUAAUUAUUCAUGUAUAUGCAUGACAUGCUGUUAUCAUUUUUAAUGAAAAUAAUUAGCAGAGUUUUAUGUUGAAUAACAGGAACAAAUUAAAAGAUAUAAUUAAUUAUUUCUUAUAUAUAUAAGAAUGUGAUGGUGCAAUCUAUGAGAAUAUGUUGGUAGAUUUCUCUUAAACUUUAAUCAUCCGUAUUGAAAAUCUCAAUUCACUAGAUUAACUGAUCAUUCGUCCAAACAAAUCACCGUGGAGCACAAGAUUUCUAGUCAGUGAUUGAAUGGAAAAGUCCAUAUAUAAAAUAUCAGCAAGUUAAUGAAAUUUGUUGAUGGGAGAAACCACUUGUGGUGGCUUUGAAACACACAGGGGGAUAAAACACACGGUUUUAUUACAAAACAAGCUUACAAAUUACAAAAACUUACAAUUUUAAUACACACCCUCUCUUUUCUCUCUUGUGUUUCUCUCUACUCUUUCCCACACUUUAUAACACAAACUUAACAGCUUAUUUAUACAUAAACUGAGAGGCAGCAGGUAGUGGUGGGUGGCAGCAGGUGGUGGUGGUUGAUAUUAGGUUGCAGCAGGUGGUAGUUGGUUGAUAUUAGGUGUUUGCAGGUGGUAGUUGGUGGCUGAUUGAGUUUACCACAACAAAUUCCCCCUUUAAACUCAAUCGAGGGAUGUCAUGCCAAGCAUGAACUUCAAUAUGAUGAAUAUUUCUCCCUUCAAUGGCUUUGCCAAGAUAUCUGCAACUUGGUCAUUUGUUUUGCAGGAUAUCAGUUCGACUUCUUUAUUCUUCACAUGUUCUGAUAAAAUGAUGACGCGUAUCAAUGUGUUUACUUCUUUCAUGAUACACUGGAUUCUUUGCCAAUGCAAUGCUGAUCGAUUGUCAAUAUAAAUCUCGUAGGAUUUUCUUGAGGAAAUCCCAAAAACUUCAGCAUAUUCCUUAACCAUAUUGAAUGGCAUACGGCUGAGUUGGCAGCAACAUACUCAGCUUCACAGCUUGAUAAGUACAAUCGAUUGCUUCUUGGAUGACCAUGUGAAAGAUGUGUCUCCCAUGAAAAAGACAAACCCUGUUGUGCUUUUCCUUUCAUCCAGAUCUCUACCCCAAUCACUAUCCGAGUAGCCUACAAGAUUAAAGUCUUUACUUGAGGUAUAAAACAUACCUUCAUUCAUUGUGCCUUUGAUGUAGCGAAGAAUUCUCUUGGCUGCAUUCAAAUGAGACUGGUCUGGUGUCUCCAUGUAUCUGCUGAACGAGUCCGACUCCGUAGAGUAUAUCCGGUCUGGUACAUGUCAAGUACCUUAAGCUUCCUACUAAGCUUUUGAAGUAAGUUGGAUCAACAUUUCCAACCUUACUCUUCCUCAAUUCCACUCCAUUCUCAACUGGAGUUGAUACCGGAUUGCAGCUUUCCAUCUUGAACCUUUCAAGAAUAUCUUUGGCGUAACCGCUUUGGGAUACAAAAAUCCCUUCUUCCUUCUGCGUUACUUCUAAGCCAAGAAAAUGUGACAUUAGACCAAUGUCAGUCAUUUCAAACUCCUGUACCAUGCUUGUUUGAAGUCGUCAAACAUGGUAGGGUUGUUGCCGGUGAAUAUCAAAUCAUCAACAUACAGGCACGCAAAUAAGAUGCUGCCAUCUGCUCCUUUCUUCACAUAUAUGCGUGUUCAUAUGGACAUUUUUCAAAUCCAUUAUCUUGAAAAUACCUGUCAAUUCUGGUAUUCCAAGCACGCGGAGCUUGCUUCAAACCAUAGAGAGCCUUCUUCAACUUGUAUACUUUGCCUUCAUUUUCAGCAUCAAUGUAUCCAAGUGGUUGUUCAACAUAGAUCUCUUCUUCUAGGAAGCCAUUCAGAAAUGCUGACUUCACAUCGAGUUGAUAGAUCUUCCAUCUAUGUUGUGCAGCUAGUGAGAUCAUCAGUCUGAUUGUCUCUAGCCGGGCUACUGGAGCAAAUACUUCUCCAUAGUCAAUGCCUUCUCUCUGUUUGUAGCCUUUAGCCACUAAUCUGGCUUUGUAUCUUUGCACUUCUCCUUUUGCAUUCUUCUUCGUCUUGUAGACCCAUUUGACACCUAUUGCUUUCUUGUUUUCUGGUAGAUAAGUCAGCUUCCAGGUAUCAUUCUUCUCAAUGGCAUGUAUUUCUUCAUCCAUUGCUUUAUCCAUUUCUCUUCUGUGAUAGCUUCAUUGAAGCUUAAUGGGUCACUAUCUGCAAAGAAACAAAAAAAGUUGUAUCUUCCAUGACUGAGUGGCAUCGUACAACUCUUCAAGAUUCCGCAUCCUUCUUGGUCCUUCUGAUGAGGAUGCUGAUGUGGUGUUGAUGAUGAUGCUCCUGUGUGUGUUCCUCCUGUUGAAUACAGGGAACUGUGUACCGGACUUUGUGGUUCAGCUGCUGGCACAAUCGGUUCUUCUACAAGUACUGUUGGUACUUCUUCACCUUCAAGGAUCAAAUCAGUGUUGAUCCAUUUGACUGCUUCUUGAUCAUCAUUCCAUGCCCAAGAUUUAUCUUCUUCAAAGAUAACAUCUCUACUCGUAAUCACCUUCUUCGUGAUGGGAUUAUACAGCCUGUAUCCCAUCCUUCUUUCACCAUAUCCGACAAAGAUGCAUUUCUCGCUUUUAUCAUCGAGCUUUCUCCUUCUUGCAUCUGGGAUCUUUGCAUAUGCCACACAACCAAAGACUCGUAGAUGAGUAACACUUGGUUUGUGACCACUCCAUGCUUCUUCUGGAGUGACCUUGCAAACUUCUGGUUGGGCAGCGAUUCAGUAGAUACACUGCACAUGAUACAGCUUCAGCCCAGUAUUGCUUGGGCAACUUCUUUGCUUUGAGCAAACUUCUGGCCAUGUCAAGAAUCGUUCGAUUCUUCCUCUCAGCUACAUCCUUCAGCUGUGGUGUAUAAGCUGGUGUGUCUGAUGUCUGAUGCCUUGUUGUGUAAAAGGCUUCAAAGUCAUUUGCUGUAUAUUCUCCACCUUGAUCAGAUCUCACGGUUCUGAUCGUGUACCAGUUUGCUUCUCCACAAUUGCUUUAAAAUCUUUAAAACAAUUGAAUACUUCUGACUUCCUCUUCAGAAAGUAUAUCCACGUCUUUCUACUAAAAUCAUCAGUAAAAGUGAGGAAGUACCUAUUUUGUCCAGUCGACAUAGGCGUAAUUGGGCCACACACAUCUGUGUGUACUAACUCCAGUGGCCUCUUUGCUUUCCAGUUGACUUCUUUGGCAAAACUAGAUCUGUGAUGUUUGUUGAGGACACAACUCUCACAGACUUCAUCUGGAUGAUCAAUGUGAGGCAUACCUUUGACCAUCUUCUUGCUUGCUAGCAUCUUCAGACUCGUGAAAUUCAGAUGUCCAAGCCUCAGGUGCCAAAGUCAUUCUUCACUGUUGGUGAUGGCACUCAAACACCUUGUUGCAUCAUACUGGAUGUUCAAAGGAAACAUCCUAUUCUUGGACAUUUUCACGUAGGCCAUUAAUCUCCCAUUGUUGUCUCUAAUUGUCAGAUGACAAUUCUUCGAGUAAAAAUAUACCUCUCUAAGUUGACCUAGCUGAUCAGGUUCUGCUUUAUGGCUGGGACAUAAUAACAUCGGCGAUGUAUGUAUGGAAUCAUUCUUCAACUUGACUGGGAUGUUGCCUUUACCUUUGAAUGGAACCUUUGUGGUAUCUCCAAAAGUAACUAGACCUUGCUUGGUCUCAUCUAGAUCACAAAUAACUCUCGGUAGCCGCACAUGUGAUUGCUGGCUCCAGUAUCUAGAUACCAUAUAUUCUCUGUUUCUCGCAAGUUUGUUGGACAAGAAAUGCAGAUGCUUCUCUGUCAUCCUUCUCUGCAUAGUUGGCUUGCUCACGUAUCUCCAACGGAGCUUUCCUUGCAUUCAGUGCUAUAGUGCCCAAAUUGAUUGCAACUAUAACAUUUGAUAUUCCUCUUGUCACGGUUAUUGUAACCGCCUCCUCUUCCUCUAGGAGUGAAUGCUUGUUGUCCUCGGCCUCCUCUGGUGUUUCUACCACCUCUUCCUCUAAAGCUUGUAUUCCAAGAUCCUCUUCCUUGGAAUCGCUGAAAUCCUCCUCUGGAUUGUUGACUUCCUGCUUGAGUGGUAGCCACUUGUUGAAGUCUCCCCUUGCUCAUAUCUGUCUUUGAGAGACAGCUUUGCUUGUAAGGCAUGCUCAAUGGCCUUAUCUUCAUUUCGCUUUACAAUCUUCUGCUCAUGAGCUUGCAAAGAACUCAUAAGCUCAUCACUGUCAACUUGUCCACUUCUUGGACUCUUCAAUUGCGACAACAACAAAAUCAAAUUUUGGAUCUAGGAUCUCAAAAUUUUCUCAAUAAUUCGAGAAUCUGUGAUGGCUUCUCCAUUUCUCCUCAUCUGAUUGACUAUCACCAUAAUCCUUGUGUGAUAAUCAGAAAUAGAUUCUGAGGACUUCAUUCAAUAAUUCGAAUUCACCUCGCAAAGAUUGAAGACGAAUCUUCUUGAUUCUGUCAGCACCUUUGUAUUUUGUUGGAGAGCCUCCCAUAUGUCAUUGAUGUUUCAGCGGAAGCUAUGAUCUCGAAUGUCUUCAUCAAGACCUUGAUAGAUGAUGGUCUUUGCUUUGUUGUCUUCUUUCUGUUGACUUUCAGGGCUUGCUUUGUGCCUCUUGUAAGCAUCUUCUCUUCUUUGGACUCUGGUUCAUCAUAACCAGUUUGUACAAUAUCAAACACUCUUGUGACCAAGGAAUGCCUUCAAUCUGAUGCACCAACUAUCAUAGUUGUCUUUGGUCAGCUUUGGGAUGAGUGUUUGUGUACUUCUGUAGUCAUUUUGCUCUUUGAAUGACUAUAUCACCUUCUAGGAGCCGAAUUUGGCAAAACGGACACUGUAGAUCGAUCCGGAAUGGUCCAAAUAGUAGGGAAUCGGUCUGACUUUGUUGAAAUCGGGUCAAAAAUGGGGUGAACCAGUCAAAAAACCAAUUUUGUACGGCGGGCGGUUCGCUGGGGUUAAACCGGGAAUAUUCUGGGGAAUAUUUGGUCGGCUCGGCUGUGGCUGGAAAGCGGCUCGGCUCGGCAUGGAGGAUGGCUCGGCUUGCGGCUCAAAUAUGGCGCGCGUGGACGACACUCGUCGUCUACCUCUGGCGCGAGUGGCUGCGCGUGGGCUACAGUCACCGGAUCUUCAGGCAACGCGUGUUGCUCACCGCGGGAUCUGAUCAGGCUUUUCUUUGCACCAGUGAGUUCGUAUGGAGGAGCUCUACACUGUGGAAGGAUCAAAACUUGUUUUUUACAACUUUGAAAAUUCAGGUAUGUCCCAAAACACUUAUGUUUUCUGACGAAUGGGGCUCUGAUAUCAAUUGUUGGUGGGAGAAACCACUUGUGGUGGCUUCUGAUAACACCUCUAGAUGGCGAGUGGAAAUGGCAGCCAUGAUUCGUGGGACGCUGUUGUUUCGCGUGGUGACAAUUAUUUUAACUUCAGAACCAGCAAAGGGUUGGCGUAGAAGAUCCCAUUGGUCAUAGCCCACAUUGCAAGCAUCAUCUAACACGAUUAAACUUCUCUUCCCAGAAAGUCUCUCUCUUAGCUUCACCUGAAGAACAUUCAAAUCUCCACUGAGCUUACAGGCCUGAUCCUUGGUAACUUCAUGGAGGAUUGUCUCAGUUAUGCUCCGAACAUCAAAAUCUUCUGAAUCAAAAACCCAAGCUCUCAAAUCAAAAGCGUUGGCCACUGUGGAAUCGCUGUACACAAGCUGGGCUAAAGUGGUCUUGCCAACUCCUUCCUUCCCACCUAUGGCAACCACACAAACCCUACCAUUGCUAGCUACUUCUCUCUCCAUUAACAAUUCAAGAAUAAACUCUUUGUCCUUCGUUCUACCAUAAACCUUAGAUCUAUUAAGCAAAGAAGUUUUGGGGGUUCUUUUACCUGCUGAUCUAUGGUGCCUCUCUCCACAAGCACGGUUUUCCAAAUCUCUUGAUCUUGAACUAACUUCCAGCUCGUUCCUGGUAUCCAUAACAGGACUUGGAUUUAACAAACAACAACAGAUCAAUUUCCCUACCAAACUUGUGCCUGCAGCUUGAGGUUCUUCGGUCAUGCUUUCGUGUGAAGCUUUGAAUCGUGAAUUGUUUCUCUUGUGCAUCUUUCUUUUUUAGUCUUGAUUUUUCUAAGCAAGCAGAGGAUCGACUAGCUAAAGGCAACUUUGCUGGGACUAGAAAAUGAAGGGAAUUAGCUGAAGCAGCAGGGAUCUGAGGAUAUGGUAAAAGCUCGAGGGUCCAACAAAGAUGGAAAAGUCUGCAGCAAAAAGAUUAACUAUUCAAAUGGGUCCCGCUGUUAGGUGAUAGACGAUGAUGUUCAAUGUUAUUUUUGUCUUUAUAAUUCCAUUGAUUGGGGAAAAAAGUACUCUCUAAAAGGACUUAGAUAAAAAAAAAUAAUUAUAUAUUGCAUUUAAUUUGUAAUGUAAACUUUAAUUUGAUUACGUGUUAAUUGGAUUUUUUUUUUGGAAUACCUUAAAAGCAUACAUUUUAUAUCAACAUAAUUAUAGAAUUUAAACUUCUAAAUAGUUCAGGUCUGUUUGUUUCUGCGUUUUAAAAACACUUUUGAAAAGAUUUAAAUUUUUAUUUAUUUUUUUAUUAGCUUCAAAUUAAUAUGUUUUUAGUGUCUUUAAAUUAUUUUGAUGUGCUGAUGUAAAAAAUAAUUUUUUAAAAAAUAAAAAAAAAACAUCAUUGAUAUACAUUUUAGCACGAAAAGCUAUUUAAAAAGCAACCGCAAUCACACUGUCAAACAAGAAGAAGAAGAAGAUAAUAUAUCUUCUUAAUUAUUGAAAUAAUCCUUUAAAAUUUAAUAUAACAUGAUAAUUCUAACUUUUAGUUUGUAACUCCAAAAAAGAUGAAUAUUGAAAUAUAGUAAAAAUUCAAAAGAUAGUGUUCUUAAAAAAAAUGAAGAAAAGAAUUCUUUUGAUAACAAGAUUAUUUUCUCCUUGUUUUUGAUUUUUUUUUACAAAUAGUUGCAUGUUUUUUAAGUAUUUUUUUCGGUAUAUAUAAAGAAUGAAAAUGUUUUGGAUUGCUUGGACAAAAGAAUUCAUAAAUACUAACCAUCUUACUAGAGGUUGUGUGAAGAAUAAGAUAAACUUUUAUUUACUAUAUAUAAUUGUUUUAUUCGUGCAAUACAGCUAGAUAGAUGUUUAAUCUGGUUGUGGUUGGAGGGAGAAAAAACAUUUAAAUUAAAAUAAAACAAAAAUAUCAUUAAUAAACAAUGAGCUCAACAGGAGCUUAUCCGGGGAAAAAAAAUCAAAAUAAAAGCUUAUGAACUAGAAACAAAGUAAACGAAAAUUUUGCUAUUUUAAAUAUGAAAUUACAAAAUCUAUAGUAAUUAUUAUUUUACGAUCAUUAAUAAGAUAUACAUAUACAAGUUUCAUAUUCAUAUUAUCAAUUACAAGACAAUAAAAGAUUAGUUAUAUCUUACAAGUAGUUUAAAAAUAAGAAAUAUAUAUUAAAUAAUUGAUUAAUCUCUUGAUUCUAACAUUCAAAUUUAUUCUUUCUAGAUAAAAUGACUAAUAGUGUAACAUCCCAAUAAUUUAAUAUCCUUUGACUUCCUUGAGACUUGAACUCGGGAAAAUGGGGUGAAUUUGUGUUUUUUUUUAAGAAACACAUCAGUAUUGUCGUGGGGGUGCCAGCGUCGACGCAACGUCGUCUGGCGACGACGGAGGCUUUUUCUGUUUCUCCUGUGUGAGGUGUUGUGUGUUGAGAAGAGUUUUUGGAUUUAAUCAUAAAACUAUUAUUAAUGUUUAGGAGUUGCCACCUAGUAUUAUGGUCAUUAGGAGGAACAUAUAGUCUGCGAGAGUCUGGGUAAGGGACUGGUUGUGCAAAGGGAAGACGCGUCACCCCUAGUUCACCCUACCGAAGGUUGUGCAAAGGGAAGUCUGGGUAAGCUGCAUUGUUGUUUGAUUGUUUUUUUUUUCUAAGUCAGGUUUCUAUUUGUUGGUCUUUUCUAAGGUUCAAGGCAGAUCUAUGUUCAUGAGAAAGUCUCUACUUUAUUGGGUUAAAAUCUUAACUCUUCUAAAGUCUGAAUUUUAGCAUCACAUUUAUUUACACCUUGUAUCUUUAAUACCUGAGGAUAUACUUUAUCGUGUAAUUUUGCACCUUACAGAUAUUAAAGUCUAUAUUUGGAUCGUUGGAAGAAGAUUUUUGAUAUUUUGGUCAAAUCCUAAUGAAUAAUCAUAAACUGGUUAUGAUAUCCAUUUUGCAUUUUUAAACGUGAACAAGAUGCAAUUUUUAUUUUUAUGAAGAUAUGCUUGGAAAAAUUUUAGGAUUUGGCCAUAUGCAUAAAAAAAAAUAUUUUGUUUGUUUUAGAAAAGAGAAAUUAAUUUAAAAUAUUUUGAGAUUUUUUGAAAAUAUUUUGAAUUUAUUUUGAAAUAUUUCAGAGAAAACAAGGUAUUUUAAUACUGGAUUUAUAUUUUACAGUGUAAAUAUAUAACCCGAUAUUAUGCAAAAUGGAUAGAAAAAUAUUUGAGAAAAUCAUAAUUUUUCUUAAACAAUUUUUGAAAUUUUUUGAAUGUUCUUUUUUUAAAUGGGGGCCGGGCCAGAUCCAACCCAGCCAUAUAGGCUAGACUAGAACUGGCCCAGCCCAAAGUGGGAAGCUAACUAUUUUGGUCACUGCAUGCAGAAUGAAUUCUGCAUGCAGCGACUGCAGCAGUGAGCACAGGGACGGGUGAUGCAAGGCAAUGGAGAACCACAUGAGGUGGUGAGGGUCCGUGGUCGUGCUGGUGGAGAGGACGGUGUCUUCGCUAGUGGUUGCAACGGUGGAGGCUGGCGUUGGUCACAAGGAGAAGAAAGAAGGAUAAGAAAAUCUGCAAGAAAGAGAGAAGUGGUGCAACCACCAUGUGAGAUGGUUUGAUGGCUUCUUGUGAUGGAGAUGAUGGUGGGAAGACCAGUGAUGAGGGUGGUGGUGGCUGAAUGCCACAGCAGAGAGAGAAAGGACUGGUUGUAGGAAACCUGAGCGGGGAAGGCUGGUUUUUGACCAACUUUACGUUCGAUUUUCCCCUCUAUCAGGCCAUCAAAUUCACCUAUAUUUAUAGGAGGUGGAAGAGGGCAAUAUUGUCUAUACUAGGUAAAAAUUUCAGCCCUUGAUUCAAUUGGAAAGGAUCCUAACCGUUGGCUCAAAGUAGACAUGGUGCACUAUCAAAUCUGCAGCUGCAAGCUGUCUGAGGUGGCCUCUUUAGGUCGGCGUCGGCGUUGAUGGGCUGUCAUUCAACCUGAAAAAGCCAUAUGGGAUUGUAGAGAAAGUGCAGAGGAUCUUUUUCGUGCAAGAUUUGUCAAAUUCGAUGGACGUUAGAUGCGUUAAAUGCACCUACAAAGUAGGUAAACGGACCAGCUUUUCCGGGUAAAAAGAGAAGAUAAUGAACAGUAACCAGACGACGCAUAUCUGGUUUUCUCUUUUUUUAUAUACAUAUUCAAAACGGUGCCGUUUUGGAUUGAAUUAGGGAUUUUAACUGACUCCAAAAUUUCAAUUUUCUUGCAAUUUUGCUCUUGAUUUCAAUCAAUUAAUUUGGAAAAAAUUAAAUUUUGUCUCUUAAAAUUUCAAUAUUAUCAAUUAAGCCCAAAUUUGACUCCCAAACUUAAGUUUUCACCAAUUAAGCCCCAAAUAAAAUUAAGUUGACCCAUUUAAAGUAUAAUUAAGUCAUUGCACUUAAUUAAAUCCUUCAAUUGGACCCAAAUUAAUUCUUAAACAUAAUUAAAAUUUAAUUUGACCCAUGAUUAAAUCAAAUCGGCCUAUUAAAAAUUUAAUUAUGUUCUUGGACUUAAUUUUUAUGCAAAUUCAUCCAAUAGUCAUUUAAUUUGACCUUGAAUUUGCAUUUUUCUUCAUUUUUUGGCGUAAUGGGGUACAAUUAGGCCUUGAAUUUCCUCUAAAAUUGUUGCUUAAUUCCUCAGCCUACUUUCUCCACGUUGUCAGCCUUUAUUAUUAUUAUUUUGAUUUUUAUUUUGAAAAAAAAAAUUUAUUUUUAGAGAAUUACCCAGAAUUGGGUUAUAAUAAGUAUCAUGUUUCAAUAUAUAUAUUAUUUAAGAGUACUUUACCGAAAUUUCGACAGAAGUUAUCGACUCUAGUGUGUGUAUCACAAUUUCAACACUGUCCAAACUUUUUAGACCUUAAUCAAUCACAUUUUCAGUUCAGAAUAGAAUUCAUCUAUAAUUCUAAAUUCUCCAUUUCAAAAUUCACAUUUAAUUGUAGCAUACACUAUUUACAAUAUGUGACACGACCAAAAUAUAAAUAUAUUAUGAACUAAUUACAUACAAUAUUCAUUUAAUAAACCUAGGGUAUGUUUGAUGUCAUAUUACAAACCUAAUAAAAAAAUAUUAAUAAUUAAGUUAUAAAUAUCCUUAGUAUUGGUUUCAUUUAUAUGCAAUUUAUUCUCAAAAUCACAUUACAAAAAAUAGCCAACAUAUUAAAAAUUACAUCAUCGUCACCUAAACAAACAAAAAAAUGCUAUGUAAGAUCUACUAUUUUGUCCGAGUCUAUGAUAAACUUGAAAAAUAAAAUUAUUUUCAUAACAUAAGAACAUAUUGUAACAAAUACUUACUAAACAAACACACACACACACACACAUAUCAAUGAUAUAAGUAUAUCUAAAUUUCACUAACAUUUUGAAUAAACAUCAAUCUAUGACAAAUUCCACUUUAAUACAGUUCCAUCCAUCUUUUGAUGAACUUUUAUUUCAUCAUUGUACUCAUUUAACUAUCAUUGUCACAUCAUGGAAACUCUUAUUCACAACACAUUUGAUUCAUAUUAUGAAUCAUUUCCUCAAAACCCCUUUAAUUCAUAUAAUUAUAUAUGCAUAUUCCAUGAUCAUAUCUUGUUCACACCAUUGUUUCAAUUCAUAUUACAUUUAAAUUUAACAUAUAUCUUGUAACCAUAUCUGGUUCGCGCCAUUGUUUCAAUUUGUAAUACUUUUAAAUUGUAUCAAAUUUCAUUUUGUAGCAUACUUAUCCCUUUUUGAUUUUUUAAUAUUCAAUUUAUUUUGAUUAUAUACAUGUGUUUUCACAACACGUGAUUUGCCAUUAAAAACUUCUUGUGCGAUUAAUUGCUUAGUUUAAUAUCUCAAAAUCUAUAAUUAUUACCUCGUCUGAUUUUCUUUUUCAUGUAACCCAUGUUAUUAUCCUUCACACUAUUUUGACUCAUUUUCAAAAGAUCUAAGGCUGACAUUUUACUUUGACUUAUGAUUUCUAAUGGAAAACUUCUUGAUUAAUGAAAUUUCAGGUGAGCUUUUUUAAUACAAACCCUAUCCACAUUUCAUCUAGUCAUUUACAACAUAAAACUUGCAUGAAUUCUGAUAUCAUCAUCACAUAAGCAACUUUAUGUAACAACCUAAACUUUUAAAACAUAUUUCAAACAACUCCCUCGACAUGGAUCAUUGAAGUCCCUGGACUAUUAUUAUUUUGAUAUUGGCAAUUUGGCUUCUUCCAACAUUUCAUUACCAAUUUGAUGAGUCGUUAACACAUAUAUUAUUUGUUAACCACAAGACCACUAGCCAAAUCACGUAUAUCCUAGUCAUUAAUGCAACUCACAUCACCAGCUCCAUUAUGGACAGUUAAUUCAUCUUUUCAAUCAAUUUUAUGUUCUUAUUAAACCAUCUUGCCAAGUCAUAUAUGUUUUGGUCAUCAACCGAACUAAUGCCACUAGUCCAUUACUAGGUAACUAGUUUUAUACAUAUUAAUAUUCAAGUACAAACAUACUACAUCAUAGACCCUUUACCAAUAAAGAAUCAACACUUAAUUACUAAGGCAUAAUCACAUUUCUAGAUGACAACCAUCAUAUUUCAUCUUUAUUGAAUCAUUAUCAACCCAGCAAUCAGUUACUUUGACGCCUUUAGCUCACUUUAAUACAGCUAAUUAAUCAUGAUCGUUCUUGUUAUUCACAUUCAUAUCUUUAUAGGUAAACACAUUUAAAGAAAAUACAAUUUAACAAGAAUUUAAAAAUAUUUUAUAAAUGGGGCAAGAUGCAAGGCACCUACCUAGAGCUUGUGUACGUGUUGUUGUUUCAUGUUGAUAUCCAGUCCCCAUAGCCUCCCUUGUACCAUCAAGGAUUCAAUUAUCAUCAAUAAUACAACCAGCAUCAUGACUUCAUUUAAAUUCUUAUUCAACAAUUACUUUUAAGCCAAUAGCAAGGAAAAUCCUUAAAAUCACAUACCCUUAUACAUUUUCAUGUUCACAUCCAUUCUUGUAAAUUUAUAUGUUAAAACCCUCACUCAACAACAAUUUCAAGAAUAGAUUAGAAAUUAUCUAAUUCUGGUUGCUUUAGCCUAACCAACACUAAACAUUAUCCAGUGUUUUAUUCAUAAUUGAAGUUGUAAAACUCAAUUUUUAGCAUGGUUUGUCUCUAUGGAAAGAUGAGAUAUAGCUAUAACUUUCGCGAAGAAAGAAGCAGCUAAUUUUUCCAUUUACAAAUAUAAAAUCACUCAUUAUAGUAGCAUAAAAAAUUUGUCCAAUAUUGUAUCGGUUUGAACCUAUCCUCCGUCUUUAGUUCAUAUAUGGGGUUAUAUCACUCUAAAUUAAUCAAGACUAGUUUAAUUUGAAAGAUAACAUAUGUCGCACGUCAAAUCCGCGCGGCAUCGGCUAGUGAUUUUUCUUUAUGCGUUUGCUUGAAUUGGUUGGUUCGUUGGAGUCGCCACCUAGUAAUUUAUUGAGGGCUACUAGGAAACCGGAUGUACUGGUCUUGUCAUAGAUUCACGGGUAAGGAACUGGUUGUGGUUAGGGAAGGUAUUAGCACCCCUAACGCACCCUACCUAAGGUAAGCUGCUUCGUGACUUUGACGUGUUAAAGAAGUUUUAAAAUUUUAUCUUUUCAUCGGAUGUUAGAAAUACAACUUACAUAUAAGUUAAUAAUUCUAGACCGUGAGCAAAUCAAAAUAUUAAAUUCUUCUUUAUUCUUUGCAAUUUUAUCAUAAAUAAAUAAAACAUCCAUAAAAAACAUACAAACACACAUACAGUUUCACUAUAUUUUUUCUUUUCUUGUCCUUUCUUUUCUUUUCCUUUUCUUUUUUUGCUUCCAUAUUUACAAAAUACAAAAACUCAAAACUAAACAACUAUUACAUUAAACAAAAAUUACAUUAAACAAUUCUAAAAUUACAAAAAUGACCCAAAACAACCCGGAACAGUGUCAGGCCGACCUCUGGAGCUUCCGGAACAGUGGUGGUGCGUUGUUCCACGCGCCAUCGCCACUGGUGACGCGUGAAUUCACGCGCUGCCGCUGAUGAAGGUGGUAGAAACCGGUGGAUCGGGAACCUCUUCCUCUUCUCUAUCUCCCUACGCUGGAGGUGACCUGCAGCAACAACAAAAACGCAACCACCAGUUGAUUUUAGUUUUUAUUUCCUUUGUUUUUGAAAUCUGCUUAGGUUUUUUUUUCUUCUUUUUGUCAGAUCUGCUUCUCCUUCUCUUCCUCUCGAUUUCGGAUCUGCUUCUUUCUACAGAUCGGUCUGUUAUGUGUUUCUUCUUCUUCUCUGGUGGCAGAUUGGUUGUGGAGGACCCAACGUUGUGAGUGAGGAGGCGGCGUUGCUACUAUAGCCUGCGGUCGUGUCUGUGCAGCUACCGGUGCCCAUUCGGGUCUUGGUGAGGAUGAGGACCUGCGAGCUGCUAGGCUGAGACAAGAGCAGCUGAAGAAUACAGCGAGGGUUGCCGCUGUGUUUGGUCCAAAGAUGAAAGGAGCGGUGGCUGGCUUCUGUCAGAUGGAGCUGGAAAUGGCUAGGACUAUGGAGGCAACGGCCGGCCUCUGUUUUUGAGGGAACCGAGAGAGGGAAAGGUUUGUCGUGGCCUUGUGACCAGGGGAGCUGGUUCGUGGCUAUUGUGGUUUGGUUUCAAAGAGAGGGGGAAGCUAUGAAGAUGGAGGCACGACUGAAGGUUGAAGAUGAGAAGGAAAAAAAAGGGGGGACAACUGCGUUUUGGCUGAGGUUUGAAGGGUCUGUAGGAUAAAAAAUUUCAAGCGGGGGGAGAGGGGCGGCAGGCUUGGUAGAGAUGGAUUUUAGGGUUAGGUUUCAAAAAUUUUAUGCAAGUGUUGGAAACUACUAUUUAUAGGCAAAUAUGUUGCUAGGUCUCCCAACUUGGUUCCUCAACUUCUUCUUCUUUUUGUAAAUUUUGAUUUUUCUUAUUUUUUUUGUAUUUUUUCGAAAACGAACAAUAUUAACAUCAACUUGAUGAGGAAAAUCAAUGAUUUUAAAAAUAACGCAUGAAAAGUUGAACGCGUUCGAAAGAACCUUAAAAAUUUAAAUUCUUUUUUAAACGACGUUGAAAAUGCUAAAAUGAUGAAAAUAUAUUAAAAAAAACAUAUGUUUUGGAUUUUCAUUCUUUUUCUCUAUUUUUGGAUUUUUCUUAAAAUUUAUCAAAACGUAGGUCAAAAAUUGGGUAGCAACAGAUGCCCCCUCUUUACAAUGCUUACAAAGCAGAACUCAUCAAUGUUUUGCAUAGUAAGCUUUGUAAAUAAAAACUUGUCUUCCUAACUUGUUAAAUCCACUAAUCUAAAGACCUUACUCUCUUUUUCUUCUUUUUUCUUAUCUCUUUCUCUUAGUUUUUUUUUUCUCUCUUUUUUUUUCGUUAACCUGAGAUCCCAUUUGACGAUCUCCUUUAACCAGAACCGAAUAAAAAUGUUCUUCAUGAUGGCAGGGUUUGAACUUUCUCUCUCUUUUUUUUUUCGUUAACUUGAGAUCCCAUCUGGCGACCUCCUUUAACCAAAACCAAAGAAUUUAUGUAGCCCGGUCAACCUGAAAUCCCAUCUGGCGACUCCCUUUAACCAAAACCACCUGAGGUCCCAUCUGGCGAUCUCAUUCAACUGGAACUAAAAAAUAUGUGUAGCUCUAUCAACCUGAAAUCCCAUCUGGCGAUUCCCUAUAACCAAAGCUACAUGAGAUCCCAUCUGGCGACCUCAUUCAACUAGAACUAAAAAAAUAUGGGUAGCUCGGUCAACCUGAAAUCCCAUUUAGCGAUUCCCUUUAACCAAAACCGUCGAGGUCCCAUCUGGCGACCUCAUUCAACUGGAACUAAAAAAUGUGUGUAGCUCGGUCAACCUGAAAUCCCAUCUGGCGAUUCCCUUUAACCAAAGCUACAUGAGAUCCCAUCUGGCGACCUCAUUCAACUAGAACUAAAAAAAUAUGGGUAGCUCGGUCAACCUGAAAUCACAUCUAGCGAUUCCCUUUAACCAAAGCCACUUGAGGUCCUAUCUGGCGACCUCAUUCAAUUGGAACUAAAAAAUAAGUGUACCUCGGUCAACUUGAAAUCCCAUCUGGCGAUUCCCUUUAACCAAAGCUACAUGAGAUCUCAUCUGGUGACCUCAUUCAACUAGAACUAAAAAAAUAUAGGUAACUCUGUCAACCUGAAAUCCCAUCUGGCGAUUCCCUUUAACCAAAGCCACCUGAGGUCCCAUCUGGCGACCUCAUUCAAUUGGAACUAAAAAAUGUGUGUAGCUCGGUCAACCUGAAAUCCCAUAUGGUGAUUCUCUUUAACCAAAGCUACAUGAGAUCCCAUCUGGCGACCUUAUUCAUCUGGAACUAAAAAAAUAUGGGUAGCUUGGUCAACCUGAAAUCCUAUCUGGCGAUUCCCUUUAACCAAAGUCACCUGAGAUCCCAUCUGGCAACCUCAUUCAACUGGAACUAAAAAAUAUAGGUAGCUCGGUCAACCUGAAAUCCCAUCUGGCGAUUCCCUUUAACCAAAGCUAUAUGAGAUCCCAUCUGGCAACCUCAUUAAACCAAAACCAAAAAAAUAUGUGUAACUCGGUCAACCUGAAAUCCCAUCUGGUGAUUCCCUUUAACCAAAGCUACAUGAGAUCCCAUCUAGCGACCUCAUUCAAUUGGAACUAAAAAAUAUAUGUAGCUCGAUCAACCUGAAAUCCCAUCUGGCGAUUCCCUUUAACCAAAGCUACAUGAGAUCCCAUCUGGCGACCUCAUUUAACCAAAACAAAAGAAUGUGUAAAAAACAGUCUCAUUGUAAUGGGUGACCUACCCAGGUGGAAAGAAUAUGAAAAACGGUCUCAUCAUGAUGGGUGACCUACCCAAAUAGAAAAAAUAUGAACUACGGUCUCAUUGUAAUGGGUGACCUACCCGGGUGGAAAAAAUGUGAAUUGCGGUCUCAUUGUAAUGGGUGACCUACCCAAAUGGAAAAAAUAUGAAAAACAGUCUCAUUAUGAUAGGUGACCUACCCAAAGAAAAAAAAAAGAGUGGUCUUAUUGUAAUGGGUGACCUACCCAAGUGGAAGAAUGACCUCAUUGUAAUGGGUGACCUACCCAGGUAAAAAAAACAUGGAGCAUUGGUCGCGUUGUAAUGGGUGACCUACCCAUAAAAUAUUGGCGAGGGCUCAAAGGCGCACUCGAAAUGAGGUAGGGUUAGAAAACGCACUACCCGAGAAGUGAGGGCUCAAAGGCGUACUCAAAAUAAGGUAGGGUUAGAAAACGCACUACCCGAGAAGUGAGGGCUCAAAGGCGCUCUUAAAAGGAGUGAGGGUUAGAAAACGCACUACCCGAAAUGAUGGCUCAAAGGCGCCCACAAAAAGAGGUGUGGGCUCAAAAACGCACUCAAAAUGAGAUAGGGUUAGAAAACCCACUACCCAAGAGAUGAUGAUGAAACACUGAUCUGACAAUGUUAAAAGCAAUGCAUUAUGGUCACUAUGCAUGUAUACUUACCUGAGAAAAAAUAGGUCCCCCUUUCUUCAUGGUGUCUUUCUUUUUUCAAAAGUUGGAGUGCUGGUAGUAAACUUUGAUGGCUUUUUCGCUCUUGCUUACUCGAAUCAUCUCUUGUGAUCUUGACCUCUAAGAAGGAUUUGAUAUCAUCAUACUUCUUUGUCCUCCGCCCUUUAUCUCAAGGGUUGCUAAUUUAGCCCGACAGUUUCUUAGAAAGGGAAUCAUGAAGCCAGCCCUACCAGAUAUUUUUUUAUUGCUCCCCAGCUUGAUCAUGCCCUCAAGUGUUCAAUUCGGGUUUGGGGAUGAGGCUAUGUGAAGGAAGGUUUGACAAGGUGUUUUUUUCCAUGCAGAAUGUUUGGAAAUCCUAAGCUAUUCCAGACACGAAAAUCAUUUUGACGUCAAUUUAAAGUGAACUCAUUCUGAAGAAAUUCAAGUGAUUCCUAUGGAGAGGUUAUCAGAGGUGAUGAAAACCUUUUGUUUUGCUUUUGGUGAAAAAUACGAAGUGACAUUUGGUUGGUCAAAUAUGGUUCAAAUUUCAAUUUGAGAGUUUCAAAGAUCCAGUCUUGAAAGUAUUUAUUUAAUUUACAUGAAUAAUGAUUUGGUUCACAUGAGAAAGCAUUGCCUACUGAUCCAGAUUGCUUGUCUUUGAUCAAAAAGGGACUUGAUUAGGCACGUAAUGUAGGCUUGGGCUUUUGGUUAUGAAGAAAAUGAUAUUUGUAGGCUCAAAAGGUGUUUAAGGGAUUUCAAAACUAAGGAUCACUUGUGCUUGUUUCUUGACCUUUUAUCAUUUGAAUGUCUUUCGAAAAUUGUCUAUCGUGCCCCCUAGUGUUGGGCUUGGGCUAUUUCUCUUUGCUUUUGUUUUCUUCAUAUGGUUUUGAGCAUCAUCAUAUUGUUUUUUUUUUAUGCUCAAAACUUUUGGAUCCUUUGGAUUUUUCUUCAUGCCCCCUAGCUUUGUUUGGGCACCUUUGAUGAUUGAGAAUUUUCUUUUAUGCCCCCUAGUAUUGCUUGGGCAUUUUCGAUCAUUGAGGUUUUCUCUAUGUCAUCGCACUUGCCCCCAGUGUGGGGUGUGAUCCUAGCCAAGGUUAUUUAUCUCAAGAAAAGCAUUAGGCUCAAAAGGGGACUACAAAUGAUAUAUUUUAGCCUCGUGAAAAGAUUAUCAAAGAUGACCUUUCUUCAUUUCAAACUCAUGCAUUUAGGAUCGGUAAGCCUUGCUUUCAUGCGAGUAUACAAUGUGAUUUCUCAUUAUUCAUUCAAAUAAAACUCAGCUUUUGGAGUCACUUCAUGGGUUCUUUUUGUUUUUGUUUUUGUUUUUUUUUUAGGUUUUCUAGGUGUAUGGUUACCUUUCUAAGGAAUCACCUGAAUUUCCAGAACUCGUUUGUUUUGGACAAACAUCAACAUGAUUUUGUUUUUUACUAAACUUUGAAUUCCCAAAAAUCCUUGUGAACAUGUGCGAUCAUGCAUAGUUUUGAAGAAAGGAAACACACCCAAAGAUUCUUGGUGUGAUGGUUUCAUGCUUAAAGGUUAUGCUCAAUGUGUUAUUUGCAUGAAACAACAACAAAAAUGAAGGUAUGUUAUAAACACAUGAUCUUAUUAACAAGAAAGGCUCAUUUGACAAGGAAAGUGUUGUGGAAUUUUGAGCCAAGUUAUCAACAAAAAACUGGAACAGGUUGAAACAAAAUCAAGAAGUUCUGCAGGCAUGAUCAAACAGAGGCAUUUUUUUUUUUGAAGAAUAAGAAUAGGCUCCAUUAUACACCGGUAGUGCAAUUCCCCUUCGGUCAGCCUUCCCACCAAAUCUUUUGCAGAAAUACAUGAUUGUGUUGAGGCUCUUGACUGACGUUUGCCCCCAAUUUCUUCGGGUAGAGUCGUUGUUGGGUUUUGGACAAAGAUGAUAGGUCGGUUGGAAGGAACUUUCCUAGAGUUAUUUUUCAGUAUUUGCUCGAGUAAGCUAGAGGUGAGUCACACAUGUCUUCAGAAACUCCAACUCUUCUUUAAAAUGUACGUUACGACGAGCACACUCUUUAUCUUUCGUGUUUUUUCAUUCAAAGUCAGGUGUUGUAGACUCGUAGGGGACCUACUUUUCAUUCCGGUGCAUGCAUGACAAAUGUAUGAAUAUGUAAUCUAUAUGAUGAACUCGCCCUUCAAGGGGUGACAAUAUGGUCGUAACUCUUGUAUGAUGGAACAAGAAUCGUGAUUUUUGCCCAAACUCUACAAUGAAAAUUUUCUGAGUGACGGCCAUUGUGUCACCCACAAGUCUUGAGUUCAAGAUGCUUCAAGAAGGGUUUGCCCUUAUGCAAAUAACGAUAGCACAUACAACCUAAGGACAGGUUCUAUUCAUUAUGUGAACAUGGGUAGGUUUUCUAUCUGGUCUCAAAAGGGUCUCAUAUCUGCCCAGUGACGUUCUUCGUAAAGACAGUAUGGGGGCGUUGCAAGGAAUAGUUAAGGCACGUAUACCCACCAUUACCAAGCAGGCACUCAGAUAUGAGUUGGGUGUUUCACGCAUCUGAACCCUGACCAAUAGUCUUAGGGCAGAUCGCUAGUUCCCCACCUAACCUAGAAGCUUGUGUGUGCUUUCAAAAAUAAAUACAGGUGAUGCAUGAGACAAUUCUAUAAAAUGCAUGGAAAAAAUAUUAACAAAAAGAUAAAAAUGCAAAAACUUAAACACAUCAAAUACACAAAGCUUAGUCCAAUAAUGUCAGAAACAGUACCUUCCUCAGUGGAGUCACCAUUCUGUCGCAAGUCAAAUCCGCGCGGCAUCGGCUAGUGAUUUUUCUUUAUGUGUUUGCUUGAAUUGGUUGGUUCGUUGGAGUCGCCACCUAGUAAUUUAUUGAGGGCUACUAGGAAACCGGAUGUACUGGUCUUGUCAUAGAUUCACGGGUAAGGGACUGGUUGUGGUUAGGGAAGGUAUUAGCACCCCUAACGCACCCAACCUAAGGUAAGCUGCUUCGUGACUUUGACGUGUUAAAGAAGUUUUAAAAUUUUAUCUUUUCAUCGGAUGUUAGAAAUACAACUUACGUAUAAGUUAAUAAUUCUAGACCGUGCGCAAAUCAAAAUAUUAAAUUCUUCUUUAUUCUUUGCAAUUUUAUCAUAAAUAAAAAAAACAUCCAUAAAAAACAUACAAACACACAUACACUUUCACUAUAUUUUUUCUUUUCUUUUCUUUUCCUUUCUUUUCUUUUCCUUUUCCUUUUCUGAUUCCAUAUUUACAAAAUACAAAAACUCAGAACUAAACAAAUAUUACAUUAAACAAAAAUUACAUUAAACAAUUCUAAAAUUACAAAAAUGACCCAAAACAACCCGGAACAGUGUCAAGCCGACCUCUGGAGCUGCCGGAAUAGUAGUGGCGCGUUGUUCCACGUGCCAUCGCCACUGGCGGCGCGUGGAUUCACGUGCCACCGCCGAUGAUGGUGGCAGAAACCGGUGGAUCGAGAACCUCUUCCUCUUCUCUAUCUCCCUGCGCUGGAGGUGACCUGCAGCAACAACAAAAACGCAACCACCAGUUGAUUUUUGUUUUUAUUUCCUUUGUUUUUGAAAUCUGCUUCGGUUUUUUUUUCUUCUUUUUGUCAGAUCUGCUUCUCCUUCUCUUCCUCUCAGUUUUGGAUCUGCUUCUUUCUACAGAUUGGUCUGUUAUGUGUUUCUUCUUCUUCUCCGGUGGCAGAUCUGCCAUGGAGGACCCAAAGUUGUGAGUGAGGAGGCAGCGUUGCUGCUAUAGCCUGCGGUCGUGUCUGUACAAUUGUUGGUGCCGAUUCGGGUCUUGGUGAGGACGAGGACCUGCAGGCUGCUAGGCUGAGACAGGAGCAACUGAAGAAUACAACAAGGGCUGCCGCUAUGUUCGGUCCAGAGAUGAAAGGAGCGGCGGCCGGCUUCUAUCAGACAGAGCUGGAAAUGGUUGGGACUAUGGAGGCAACGACCAGCCUCUGUUUCUGGGGGAAGCGAGAGAGGGAAAGGUUUGUCGUGUCCUUGUGACCAGGGGAGCUGGUUCAUGGCUGUUGUGGUUUGGUUUCAAAGAGAGGGGGAAGCUGUGAAGAUGGAGGCACGACUGAAGGUUGAAGAUGAGAAGGGAAAAAAGGGGGGGACGGUUGUGUUUUGGUUGAGGUUUGAGGGGUCUGUAGGAUAAAAAUUUCAAGCGGGGGGAGAGGGGCGGCAGGCUUGGUAGAGAUGGAUUUUAGGGUUAGGUUUCCUCAUUUUUUUGUAUUUUUUUUCUUUCAAAAUUGCCCCCCUAUGCAAGUGUUGGAAACUACUAUUUAUAGGCAAAUAUGUUGCUAGGUCUCCCAACUUGGUCCCUCAACUUCUUCUUUUUUGUAAAUUUUGAUUUUUCUUAUUUUUUUUGUAUUUUUUUGAAAACGAGCAAUAUUAACGUCAACUCAAUGAGGAAAAUCAAUGAUUUUAAAAAUGACGCGUGAAAAGUCGAACGCGUUCGAAAGACCCUUAAAAUUUUAAAUUCUUUUUUAGACGACGUUGAAAAUGCUAAAAUGAUGAAAAUAAAUUAAAAAACAUAUUUUUUGGAUUUUUGUUGUUUUUCUCUAUUUUUGGAUUUUUCUGAAAAUUUAUCAAAAUAUAGGUCAAAAAUUGGGUAGCAACAACAUCCAUACAUAUAACUUUGGUAGAGAAACAAACUCCAAACUUUAUCAUUUUAAGGCUCAAAUUAAACAAUCACUGUAGCAUCCAAAAUCUAUGUAGAUUUAUAUCGGUUUAGACCAUUGCUCAGUAUUUAGCUUAUAUAUGGAGUUAACAACUCCAAAUUAAUCAAGAUUAGUUUCAUUUGAAAUCUAACAUCCAUACUUACAACGUUCAUAGAAAAACUAAAUCCAAGUUAUAUCUUUUUAAGGCUCAAAAUAAACAAUCACAGUAGCCUUUUUUUUUCAACUAAAAUUUUGGACAAGGAUUUUCACCCCUUGAAAAUCCUUUACAACUUCCAACUAAUUCUCAUUUAUAAACAAUAUUAUCCAAGGUCAUUUAGCAUCGUUACAUAACAUAUUUAAACCAAAUCUAAAUCAAGACAUUCAAAUAAUUUCCCUUCAUCUACAACAUAGCAAGAUUUGGUCAAAAUAGAGAAACUCAUUCCCUUGGAAUUUCUCCUCUUUCUUUUCCAUACUACAUACAUUAAUAUUCUUGUUUAGAAUUAUUAACACAACAAAAAAUAAACCAUUCAUUUCUCACUUUCUCCUUUUACAAUUAAACAUAUGCAACAAACCUUUAACAACAUACACUUAUGUUAAUCUUACAUUAGUUUUUUUUUUUCCAACACAUAUCAUUUCAAGCUUAGCUAUAGUUCAUCACAACAAUCAUUCAAAAUCCCUCCCCCAAUAUUUUCUAUUUUGGCUGAAUAUCCUCCAUGGUAUAGCCAAUAUUGUCACUUCAGCUUUUAACAUGCAUUCCAUCCCAAAACAACUAAAAAAUAUCAAAUCAAUCAACAAAACCCAAACCCUGCAAGUAUUUCUUUUUUUCCUAAUGCCACCAUGAAUCAAAACCAUGGAUUUUCCUUCAACUUUUCCAAUAAUUUCACAUUACCAACUCUUAGAUACAUACAAAAACACAUUUUUAUCAAAGUGUAAGAACAACAAUUCAUCAUUCAAUCAAACUCAAGCUUAAACACAUACCCAUUUUAUACCUAUAACCAAAACCAACUAAGAAUUGCAUAUAAAUAAAGGUGAAGGCUUGCUUACCAUUUUAAACACUAUUUCCAUGGAGUUUGAUGCAUGAGACCCCAAACUCGUCUUCCUUCUCUUCAAGAUUUCUCACUUUCCCCCUCUACAUAUUCAUCUUCUUUUCUUGGUUUCUCACUUCAAAACUCAUUUAUAUAAUGUUUAUUUUACAAGAGAAUGAUUAGUCCUCAUAAGAAUCUCUUAAUCAAGCAAGAAACCACUCAAAACUUAAUAAGGUAUGGAGGGCUUUUCGUUCUCCCUAGCUUCUAGAACUCUUCAUCCGCUUUUGCUUGUUUAUAAAGAGAAAUUUUGCUUACUUUACCAUUUUACCUCUCUUAAUAUUUUUCCUGUGUUUUUGGGUACACAUCUAGCUACCAACCUAAUUGUAAGGCCCCAAACUCCUAUUAUUCUGAAAUUUUAACCCAAUAUAAGAACAAAUACCAGGAGAGUCCUCAUAAAAUUUUAGUCUGAUCUAACGGUCGGAUUGAGAGUUAUGGUUGAUAACAUAAAAUUGGACAGUAUUGGAAUUUGCAGCCCGAAUUCUGAUUUCAGACCCAACUCCAAACCCAUCAUUCUCUCUCAACCGUGUGAAUUAAAGAGCCUACCAUAUAUUGUUGGAAGGAUACAGAUGUGUUCUUUCCAAAAAAAAACUGGAACAGAAAUGAAAAUUAAUCAUGAUACACACACACCCCCCCCCCAAAGAGUAGCCAAAGGUCCAGUGUGAUAGAUUUGCCCACUUUUAAUCUGAGCCUCUGAACUUAGCCCUUUUAACUUUUUAUGUAAUCCUCUUCCAUUUAGACCUUAUAUUAAGCUCAAUUAAUGGUGUAAAUGGGAUAAUUUCAUCUUUAUUUUUUCAUCAUUUAUUUCAUCUGCAAACUUAUUAUCGUUUCACGGUAAUGUUACCGAUUUUUAAUCGGGAUUUGCACCAACACCUUUUUGUACAGUUCUCUUCUUAACUUUUUUUUUUAUUCCCCUUGUAAUGGCUUGGAAUUAUUUUCUCAUUCUCAAAACAUAUAAAUUUUUUUUUUCAAAAGCGCUUUUGAAAUGCAAAAACAAACAGGCUAGAGUUUCACCUUGUCGCGCUUCUGAAGCACGACAAGGUGAAACUCUAAAUUAUCUGGCUAAACUGGUCAAUUGAUUUAAUCUAGUUGCAUGAACUAGUCAACUGUUUCACACAAAAAUCAUAAUUUAAUAAUUUUUUCUUCCAAAUAUGUUUUAUGAGUCAAAAUACACACAUUUAUCCAACUUGUAGACUAAAAAAUAGACUCCAAUUAAAAUCACAAGAAGUUAUUGUUCACAUAAUAGUUGUCUUCUGUUUUUCAAUGUCAAUAAUGUAGUCGGGCUUGUGAUAACUGGUGAUUCUGAAUAGUCAAGUGUGGGUUUGUCAACCUUUAAAUUAUCUGCCCUAAAAAUAUUAAUUGGAUGGCCUAGCAGAUGCAUUUAUGGACCAAGGGGACAGGUAUAAGCCCAAGAGGAGGUCUGGUCGCACCAGACUAAAAUAACGGCUCAAAAAGGCUAUGACUUUAGAUAUGACCAUUAGAUCACGCUCAAAUCUUUACAGGAGUUUCCAAAGGCCGUUUUCCUUGUAGUAGCCAUUGUGUCGCUAUACUGACCGUCGGAUCUUUAGAUAUCAAGAAUUUCAUCGAAGCCCCUUGAUUUUAGCAGUUUUGAGAUUUUCCAUGUUAUUUUUGUAACCGAUGGACCGAUUUUAUUGAUUAUUACGAACUGGUCAACCAGUUGAGUCAAAUAAUUGGAGUUUCAUUAUGUCUCGCUUAGAUGCGCGACAAGAUGAAAGCGAGCUAAUUGUUUUUAUUUUAUGUGCUGAUUUCUUAAUUUAUCCCUUAAAAGGACUCACUCAUGUACCCCAUUGCUUAAAAAUAUUUAAAAAAGAAUGGUAGAUCUCUUUAAAAAGAAUGCCAAAAAAAUCUACUCAUUCAACGAAUGCUUCUAGCUCCUUGAAGUUAUCUUUCCAUUCAUGAGUUCUCCAUCCUUUCCAGCAUCGGGUGUAGCUGAGUUUCCAAGCUGCGCGUACAAGCAGCAACUGUCGAUGAAUUACAAUCCUAGUUAAGCGUAGAAGGAAAUAUGGAGGAAACACCUCAUGAUUAAAACCUUCAUGGAUAUCAAUAACCUGUGAGGCUUUAGCUUCACAACCUGUCCUAAGACGGCGUGGGAUAUCAAUACAAGAGAUAAAGCAUGGGAUAUCUAACCUAGAGAAAGAAAAACAUCAAACAACUAGAUAACCAAAUGAUCCCAACUCUUGCUCAAAUACCAAUUCUUCACCACCCUGAAAUAACCGCUCCUCCCUAGGAGUUCCCCAACAACACAGCAGAUGGCAGAGCAUUUCACCUGAAAGCUUGAAAAUGGUUCGGCUGUGGCCAGAGCUCUAUGGAACUAAACGAUCGCACCGAUUCAAACAGUUUUUCUUCUGAAAUAAAUUCUAGACAUUAUGAUUGGCGCUUUUACCAACAAAGUGAUUUUUAAUGAAUGUUUAACAAAAGAACACAUUCACAGAGAUGAACAGCCUGAAUUCUUCGGGCAGGAAGCAACGCGUUCGGCUGUGAUAAUUAAUAUCCAAACAACCUGACAUAAUACCAUGAAAAAUCCUUCUCCCUUCAAAAUUAGAAUUAAACACAACUUCCAGCAAGUCAGAAACAGAACACCUUUGUUUCGAAAAUUCAAAAUAUUAUUGAUUACAGAUGGGAUACAUUUUACAUGUGCAUAUGAAAAAGACAUUAUAACAGCAACCCCAUAACUCUUUACAUGUCAUGCCAUCAUCUAUCUCCACACAAGGGAUGUGGGAUAUCAACGGCCAGUACACUCCUUUCUCCUUGGAACAGCGCUGUGUCAUUAACGGACAGUCCCUGAUGCUGAAUCUUCCAAGAGCAUGAGGUAGGCAUCCCCUAGGCAAGGACUUUAAUUUAGGACAAUCAACAAUUUCUAGCUCUUCUAGAUACGCAAGACUUUGGAGCUGCAUGGAUAGAGAUUCCAGAUUUGGAAGUCUUCCAAUCCAAACAGAAGUUAGAGUUGUCGGAAGCAGACACUUCUCAUCUGGAAAGGAAACUGUGCCUGAAAAACAUCCACCAGCGAUACUAAAAUCUCUAAGGCAGGCUAGACUUUGCAAGUUCCACUCUGACAGGCACCCAUCGAGACGAUUACAAUCCCAGAUCUCAAGCGAUGUCAAGUUCGGAGGCAUAUCACCAUUUGGAAAGGAUUUCAGAGCUGGGCAGCUACUAAUUGCCAGUUCUUGCAGAGAUGUGAGUUUUCGCAUCGCAUUAGGUAGAGACUUGAGAUUUUUGCAAUUGUAUAUAGUCAACGUUCUGAGGUUAGCGAGGGAAAAGCCAUCUCCUGGAAAGAGCUUGAGAGCGGAACAAUUACUUAUAUUUAAUUCAGAGAUAUGCUUGAAGCUGCCAAGGCACUCAGGAAAGCUUGACAGGACUUCGCAGUCUGAAAUGGGUAGGUGCAACAUCAUUUCUGAAAGAGGCAUCAAUUGGGAACAGUCCAUGAUUUUUAGUGUCUUGAGUCGAGGUGGUAAUUUCCAAUCAGGAAAGGAUUUGAGAGAUGGACAGCCAAUGAUCUCCAGGUGCUCAAACUGACACAGGGUGCCAGGGCCAUUUUUGUUGUGCAUCAAACCCUCAGGCAGAGACUUUAAUUCUGUACAGUAUCGAAUCUUCAACCCUUUUAACGUUGCAGGUAACAUCCCUCCUGGAAAGCAUUUGAGCGAAGGACACUUUUCUAUCUCCAAGUCUUCAAGAGGACAAUUGCUCAUGCCAUCAGGGAGGGAUCUAAGAGCUUUGCAAUCCCGAAGUACUAGAUGUCUCAGUGACGAUAAAAGUCCAGCUUCAGGAAUGGACACAAGAUUUGGACAUGAUUCAAUGCACAGAUCCUCAAGAGACAAAAGCACGCGCACCCUAUGGAUUGGCAGAAGAUCCAGCUUACCACAGCCUGACAAUUUUGAACUUUUAUGAGUGCUGGGCAUACCAAUCUCUGUCAAUGACACAAAUUGAGGAUGUUCAAAAUUUUCUAAUCCAGUUCCUUUUUGCCACAACGAGGUUAGUUCGGGGAAAAUCAGAAAUCAUCAGAACUUUAAGUGCUCCCAGUGACCGCAGAAACUGGCCCUUCAAACAAGUAAGCCUUGACAUACUCCAAGUUUCAAUGUGAUUAGGGAGGAGUUAUGAAAUAUGCAUUUAGGUGUCACCUCAUCACAUUCUUCUAAUUUCAGUUCACUAAGCACUGGAAGCUUUUCAUCUGAAUCUACCAAAAUUGGGCAUUUUGAAAUCGUAAUCUUUACACAGGAAGGAAGACAGCUAGGGAACUUGCCAAGCAGCUUGGGACAAUUCCAUAAAGUAAGCUCAGAAAGACUAGGAAAUUCUUCUUCAGCUUCUCCUUCAACUCCAGCUGCGGACCAAGAUUUCCAUUCCUGCAUAUCCUCAAAUGUCAAAGUCUUCAGAGAUGGAAAAGGCUUGAUGGAAGAACCAUAUCCAUAAAACUCAGGACCAACAGUCUCCACAGAAUCCAGGCCCUGUAUGCACAGAUCCCUGAGUAAAGGUAGCCUCCCAAGUGGUGGCAAUACAGUGCAUUUCCUGCAACAAGACAGUUUUAAGUGCACUAUUUCAGAAAAUGAUGGAUGUCCUACCCAUGAAGGAAAUUCUGUCCCGCCAUAGAAUGAAAUCUUUAGUUCUUUAAGGUUUGUAUGAGGAUGUAGUGAGUCGAGAACAAGCAGUUGAUGUUGUGGUUGUCCUGAGUCAAGAACAAGCAUUUGAUGUUGUCGGCCUUUAUCUUUAAUGUCACUCUUAAACCAUUCCAAUUCUAACUCAUCAAGGUUGUGCUUGCCCCUUAAAUUAGCAUGAACUGCAUGUCGAGCAUCUAUCACAUUAUGCAAUUCCAUUAUGGAAAGUCGGCCUUCAAGAUUCUCCAACCCUCUUAAUUCCUCAAUUCCACAGCCCUCCUUUUUUCCUACGAUGAACUUUGACAAUUUCUGAAGACCUGUCAAAUUACCCAUCCACGAAGGCAUCUGAACUAAGUUAUCAGUAUCAGUAAUAUCCAGAUGACAAAGAUUGAUAAGAUUCCCAGUCCCUUGUGGCAGCUUAUUAAGCUUCCUGCAUCCAUAUAAUUUGAGAGUCUGCAAGUUUAUGAGAGUGCUCACAGAUUCAGGCAACCGCUUAAUCUUAGUUUGAGAGAAAUUAAGGUAACGUAACUGCUUCAAAUCACCAAUUGAAUUUGGUAGCUCUGUAAUGCAAUAACCACUCAAUGAAAGAACUCUUAAGCGUCUCAAUUUGAACAGUGCCUCAUGUAAUACAUUUUUACUCAAGUAGCAAUAUGCGGCCCAGGUGAAGAGUAAGUCGCAAUGCAAUGAAAGUUCGCAGACGCUUCAGUUUACCCAGGUCUUUGAACCUCUGCAGCACCUCGUAUGUACGAUGAGUGAAUGACAUAUGGCGAGUCUUUUCAGGAUCUGGAAAGACCUUGUUAUUUUCCAGCUUAUCAUUUAAAUUGACACACGUUUCUCCAGCAAUAGAUUGAGCCAGAUCACUGAUGAGAUGAUGCAUCAGAUAACGAUGUUCAUUGCUGCUUGAUUGCUGGAAAAACGAUCUUGAUAAUAAUUCAUUAAAACAAGAAUAGAAGUCUUCCAUCCGCUUCUUUCCUCCUGCAUCUGGCAGAAAUCCUUGGGCCAUCCAUAACAACACUAAUUCAUCCUUAUAGAAUUCAUAGUCUUUUGGAAGUAUAGAACAGAAAACAAACAAUUGCUUCAAGUGUGAAGGAAGAUGAUAGUAGCUCAACCUCAAGGCUGGAACUAUGCCGCCCUUGUGUUCUGAUAUAUCCCACAUUUUCCUAUUAAGUACACUUUCCCAUUCAUCAACAUAAGGUUUAGUGCGCAAGAGGCCCCCCAGUGUUUUAACAGCCAGUGGCAGUCCCCCGCACCUUCGAACUAUUUUCUGGCCGAUCUCCUGCAGGUCUGGCAGAUCACUGAAAUUGGACCUUCCCAGUGCAUGCUUUGCAAACAAAGACAGGCUAUCCUCAAAUGACAGUUCUUUCAAAAGGUAACAUGGAAAAGCACUCAUCAUUAAUGCAACAUCUUGAUUUCGAGUUGUGAGGAUGAUUCUACUCCCAGGGGAUGUCACUUGGAAAGGACGGCGAAGGACAGUCCAGUCAUCAUAGUUCUCAUUCCAAACAUCAUCUAAAACAACAAGAAACUUCUUCCCCGCCAAUUUCUCUCUCAGCCUAAGUUGAAGCAGAUUCAAAUCCUUCGCAUCGUAACUCCCCGAAACUGCCUCAAGAAUAGUUCUCGUAACCCUAACAACAUCAAAAUCCUCAGAAACACAACACCAAACUUUGAAAUCGAAAAACUUAUCUACUUUCUCAUCAUUGUAGACAAGCUGAGCAAGAGUGGUCUUACCCACACCACCCAUCCCUACAAUAGGAAUCACACCAUUCCCGUACUCAUCACACCCCUUAUCACUAAAAAGCAACUUCAAGAUUUCCUCUUUAUCAUUAUCCCUACCAGAAACAUAAGAAAGAUCCACUAAAGAAGUACUGGGCAAUCUUUUCCUCUUCAACACCCCUCCACUGCCAUUCUCUCUAAGCUCCAGAUUAUUCUUCUCUUGAGCAAUUUCUUGCAAUCUAGCAGUAAUUCUCUUAAUCUUGGAGUCUAUUUUGUAAGUUAAGAGCAAAUUACCAGGAUAAAAAGAGGUUAAGAACCCGGGUAUGGCGCUCUUCGCCUUACUUGAGUUAGCUCGUUGUUCCUCUUUAAGGUCAGUGAGAACCCCGUCGAGCAAAUCUUCAAUAUCAUAGGCCAAUUCACGGAUCUGAUCAAGCCAGAGUUUGACAGCAUGGCUUUCCAUCUGCUUCUCCUCUGCGUCAUCAAGAACAGCAUGGAUCAUAUGCAAAUUUGCCUCCAGUUUCUUGAUAUCAGAGUGGAUUUUUCCUCUGCGAGCGAGCUUGAAAGAGGCUAAUUGGUUGAUUAUAUGCUGAUCGUAGCUGAAAGGAUAGCGUCUCCGAUAACAAGAGCCAUAAUUAAAUUGCUGCCUCUGGGUCGCUUGCAAAUGGCUAUCGCUUAGAAAUUAAAGCAAGAUCGAAGGAAAGAAAGAAACCAAAGAAUGGGGUUUGUAUGUAAACUGGAAGAGUAAGAGUGGUUUGUAUUCUGGCGAGGCUACAAGGGUUUGUGUGUUAACUGGAAAGUAAAGGUGGUCGUUUUAGCUUCCGGCGAGGCGGCGAGGGUUUUUUAUAUUUCUUUCUUCAAGAUAAAAUAGUUUAAGGACGGUGGUGGCGCCUUCAAAACCUUUCAGCACACACCAAAACGAGAGAAAG